UACGGGGGGGGCAAGCGUUGUUCGGAAUUACUGGGCGUAAAGGGCUCGUAGGUGGCCAACUAAGUCAGACGUGAAAUCCCUCGGCUUAACCGAGGAACUGCCCUCCAAACUGCUUCGCUUGAGACCGGGAGAGGUGAGUGGAAUUCCCAGUGUAGCGGUGAAAUGCGUAGAUAUUGGGAGGAACACCAGUGGCGAAGGCGGCUCACUGGACCGGUACUGACGCUGAUGCGCGAAAGCGGUGGGGAGCAAACGGG
rnacentral:rRNA from 1 species